rnacentral:rRNA from 1 species
UACGUAGGGAGCAAGCGUUGUCCGGAAUCAUUGGGCGUAAAGCGCGCGUAGGUGGCCUCAUAAGUCCGCUGUGAAAGUCAACGGCUCAACCUUUGAAAGCCGGUGGAUACUGUGAGGCUAGAGUACGGAAGGGAGGCGAGUGGAAUUCCUGGUGUAGCGGUGGAAUGCGCAGAUAUCAGGAGGAACACCAAUAGCGAAGGCAGCUCGCUGGGACGUUACUGACACUGAGGCGCGAAAGCGUGGGGAGCGAACAGG